rnacentral:lncRNA from 1 species
CUGGCCCAGAUGAAGAAGUACAUCAUGACAAACGAGGCAUUCGAAGAUGAACCCUCGAUGAAUAUAACUGAAGAAAAGAAGAAAGAAGAACUAGAAUCUCCAUCGAAGGAUCGACCGUGCUCUUACUCUCCAUCCAGACCUCAGAGGUCCCGAACUCUCGCAUGAAACCCCAGACAGAGGAACAAUUUUAGAAGGGAGCGGCAUGUGUCUCCUCUCAGGAGAUUUACAAACUACACCCUACUGAAUACUGUCUGAGCUCAAGUGUCGAUGGAGAUUAGCGAUCGGAUCCCAAAGGUGGGGAGAUUGUGAUCUAAUCCAGACUGGUGGAACCACAACAAGAAUUGCUUGU